UAUAAAUACCUACAAAUUAUUAUAUAAAAGGCAGAUUUGAUUAAUGAAAUUUAGCUCUCAAAUUGAGACUUUCACUCUUAUAAUGAGAUUUCUAAGUUUC